rnacentral:rRNA from 1 species
UACGGAGGGGGCUAGCGUUGUUCGGAAUUACUGGGCGUAAAGCGCACGUAGGCGGCUUUGCAAGUUAGAGGUGAAAGCCCGAGGCUCAACUCCGGAAUUGCCUUUAAAACUGCAUCGCUAGAAUUGUGGAGAGGUAAGUGGAAUUCCGAGUGUAGAGGUGAAAUUCGUAGAUAUUCGGAAGAACACCAGUGGCGAAGGCGACUUACUGGACACAUAUUGACGCUGAGGUGCGAAAGCGUGGGGAGCAAACAGG